UAUUCAUCACCAUGCAAUUUUGACAGGUUUCCACGCCCCUUUUAGGGCUUAUGUCCCACCUUCCCACCCCCCGUUUCCGUUGGCGCCGACGUGUGGCGCCGACGACCAUUUUGAAAAAGUGUGUGUGUGUGUGUGUUUGACUAGGGGAAGUGUGUUGUGUGUGUAUGUGCUUGUGUACAUGGAGAGAAAAAGGUUGAAAGAAGAGUGUAAAGGGAAAAAAGAAAGUUUGAGUAAGGUUUAGCGGAAAAAAAGGAAAUUUGAAAGAAGAGGUAAGUUAUUGAAGAAAAGAGGCCGGUUACGAAAGAAUAGAAAGAUAGAACUUUUUAAAAAAAGGAAAUAUUUGUUUUUGAAGGGCCAGUUUAAGAAAAAAGUUAAAUAAUAUUGACAACUAGGUUGAAAAAGGGAAAGGCAAAACCUGUUUGGGAGGCCCAGGGUAAAAAAAGUGAAUAAAAAGGCAUUGAAACUAUUGAAUACCAAUAUAGGUUAAGCAAAAAGCAUUACAAACAUUAAAAACUAGGUUUAAAAGGGGAAAUUUACUAAGGCAAAACCUGUUUAGUAAGCACAUGGCCAAAAACUAUAAAGGGGGUACUAAGAAAAAAGCAUUUAAAAUGAUUAAAAACUAGGUUUAAAAAGGGAAUUGACUGAGGCAAAGCCUGUUUGGUAAGCACGGGGUAAAAAAGUGAGUAAAAAAGCAUUGAAACUAUUCAAUACCAGGGUAGGUUAAGAAAAAAAGAGAGGUUAAAAAAAAGAACAGGACAAGAAAAAAAAAGAGCAAAGAGCAAAAAUAGAGAGCACAUGGUGGAAUCUGAAUGAGACAGAGAGAGAAGCAGGCAAAGUCUGUUUAGUAAGCACAGGGUAAAAAAGUGAACAGAAUCAGGGUAGGUUAAAAGAAAGAACAAGACAAGAAAAGGGAAAAGAGAGCCCCUUUUGCAAAGGGCAAAGAUAGACAGCACAUGGUUGAGUCAGAGAGAGAGAGAGAGAGAGAGAAUUCUCACCUUUUACUUCUUUCUGUAGAAUGAGGCAACUUUUCUGGUUCAGACCCUCUCAGACUUGUUAUCACCGCCUUUGGAUCGGCCCAAUCAGAGGUGGUUUUACAGCAGCGUCAUAGAAUUCAUUUUCCGGAACCAAUCCUAGAACCCAUAACCUUCAUUUAGCCCCUUAGGCAUAGGUGUUUCAAUAACAUGCAAGUCCGCAGAAACAACCCAGGCUUAAAAACACAGAAAGUUUUUCCC